rnacentral:rRNA from 1 species
UAGGGAAUCUUCCGCAAUGGGCGAAAGCUUGACGGAGCAACGCCGCGUGAGUGAUGAAUGUCUUCGGAUCGUAAAACUCUGUUAUUAGGGAAGAACAAAUGUGUAAGUAACUAUGCACGUCUUGACGGUACCUAAUCAGAAAGCCACGGCUAACUACGCUCCAGCAGCCGCGGUAAUACGUAGGUGGCAAGCGUUAUCCGGAAUUAUUGGGCGUAAAGCGCGCGUAGGCGGUUUUUUAAGUCGGAUGUGAAAGCCAACGGCUAAACCGUAGAGGGUUAUUGGAAACUGGAAAACUUGAGUGCAGAAGAGGAAAGUGGAAUUCCAUGUGUAGCGGUGAAAUGAGCAAAGAUAUGGAGGAACACCAGUGGCGAAGGCGACUUUCUGGUCUAUAACUGACGCAGAUGUGCGAAAGCGUGGGGAUCAAACAGG